AGAGUUUGAUCCUGGCUCAGGACGAACGCUGGCGGCGUGCUUAACACAUGCAAGUCGAACGGAAAGCCCCCUUCGGGGGGACUCGAGUGGCGAACGGGUGAGUAACACGUGGGUGAUCUGCCCUGCACUUUGGGAUAAGCCUGGGAAACUGGGUCUAAUACCGGAUAGGACUACGAAUCGCAUGGUUUGUGGUGGAAAGCUUUUGCGGUGUGGGAUGGGCCCGCGGCCUAUCAGCUUGUUGGUGGGGUGAUGGCCUACCAAGGCGACGACGGGUAGCCGGCCUGAGAGGGUGUCCGGCCACACUGGGACUGAGAUACGGCCCAGACUCCUACGGGAGGCAGCAGUGGGGAAUAUUGCACAAUGGGCGCAAGCCUGAUGCAGCGACGCCGCGUGAGGGAUGACGGCCUUCGGGUUGUAAACCUCUUUCAGUAUCGACGAAGCGCAAGUGACGGUAGGUACAGAAGAAGCACCGGCCAACUACGUGCCAGCAGCCGCGGUA
rnacentral:rRNA from 1 species